rnacentral:lncRNA from 1 species
CUAUAUGUACUUGUCCGACUCUCAAAGGACUUACCCAAGACUCGAUGACAGAAAUGGGCUAUUGAAGUCGCCUUGGUCCAAACCUCCUGAAUCAACAUCAAAUAAUGCAAUGCGCCAUAUUCGUGAAACUAGUGCAAUCAAUCCUAUUACAUAUAAACAUGAUGCAUGAACAUGCUUUAGGCAUUUGAUUUUAUAAAAUAAAAGAUU